CUCAAAGUAUAAAAGCCAAUAUUAAAGUACCAAUAGGUACACAAAGCAAGCGCUCCAACUUAUGAGCAAUGAAUCAUCUUUACAACGGGUGAACAUAACGUCAUACAUGCAAAUAAUGAAAAAAUAUAACCUCUACUCCAUUUUGCUAGUUUCAUGCAUGCACAACAAAGGAAAUGAAAACUAUGUUUUGUCUUCUAAUUCUGAAUCGAAUGACCCACACCGGGACUAUGCCCUGGCCCUGAAGGUUGAAACCCAUCAAUAUUCUCAGCCUUGCUGCUAACUUCUGCCUGGGUUGAAGAUGGACUUCCCUUGUUUUUCACUUUCAAUGAUUUUGAACAGUGUUUGCACUGCUUAGACUUGAGGUGCCUCCCCUCUACAUGUAAAAUCUCGUAACUCAAGAUCAACAAAAGGAAGAAAACACAGAAGCUACUGUUUUUAGUGUUUGUUGCUGCCAUAGUGUUUACUAUAGAGUAAGCUAUAGAGGGUGGUAGGAGAGGAGAAUAUAAUGAUGGAACAAGGUUUUAGUUUUGUAUGCUAACACGCAUUUACAACUGUAGUAUAU
rnacentral:lncRNA from 1 species